rnacentral:rRNA from 1 species
UACGUAGGGACCGAGCGUUGUCCGGAAUCAUUGGGCGUAAAGAGCGUGUAGGCGGCCUGUUAAGUCUGGCGUGAAAUCUCGGGGCUCAACCCCGAGCGGUCGGGAGAAACUGGCAGGCUAGAGUGCGGGAGAGGAGAGUGGAAUUCCUGGUGUAGCGGUGAAAUGCGCAGAUAUCAGGAAGAACACCGGUGGCGAAGGCGGCUCUCUGGAACGCAACUGACGCUGAGACGCGAAAGCGUGGGGAGCAAACAGG